UGCUGAGCUCUGAAUUCUGUCUCUCUCCAAAUUUUCCCAAAUGCUUCUCCCCCACCCCAAGAGGGAGGGAGAGGCCCCGUCUGGACUCCAUGGAGUGGGCAGCGGAGUGGAGACAGCCCAGGAAUGAACGCACCUGAUGGAGUCAUUCCACAGUGCUUAAACAUCAAGGGUUUAUCAUCUUGGAACUCAGUGAGCUGCAAAGACCCUGUGGUUGCCCCUCAGGCGACUUAUAUCUUGGAAAUGAGAUGGACAGACCUGAACGAGAUCUCGUAAUCACAGACGGGCAACAGACCAGCCCCUCUGAUGUUCGCUUUGUCCAUCUAGGGAAGCAGCAGAGGUGGAAGAAGCGGGCAUGGUACGAGGCCACCAUAUCAUCCCAGCCCAAGUCUGGGAGCCCCGGGCAGUCACAGCUCCGACAACUCCACACUCUCAGCUGGGCCCUGUGGCCAGAGGGGGAAGGGAGCUUGGUGGGUAGGGAGGAACUGCCACCUG